UGUAAAUAUAUAUUUACAUAUACUGUAUAUAUAAAGACAUUGUCUUUGGCUUUGUUCCAUAUAAAACCUAUUUUCACGAUUUUUUUUUUUUUUAUUUUGCAAAUAUAUUUUUAUACUUCGUCAAAAAAAAAUAAAAAAUAAAAUAAAAAAACAAAUAAUAUAUAGUAUUACGUGAUAUAUAAAAUAUUUGGAAAUUACAUCACACUAAUUUCUAAGCUGUAAAACUUAAUUCUUAGUAAAAAAUAAUCAAAAAAACAAAAUAAUAUGUAUAUAUAUAUAUAUAUACAUGUUAUAUAAAAUAAAUAGAGUAUAAAGCUUAGAACAUUAUCUAAGCUUAUUUCAUUUUUGAUUGAACUAAUAUUUUUUUUUUUACACAAUUAAAAAUUUUGUUUUGUAUUUAUUAUCUUAAGUUUACAAGGCCAUAUAUAAAAAUAAACAUAUAUAUAUAUAUAUAAGUGUGACAAAAAAAAAUAUGGGAAAAAUAUUAGAAAACAAAACUAAACACAAAAUAUAAACACAUGACAUACGAACAUAUGCUUAUAUGUAUACAUACAUAUACAUAGCUGCAUAUACAUAAAAUAUAUAUAUUUACAUUUACACAUCUGUUUAUCCAUAUAUAAUUACUCACAUUUGUAUGUAUGCUUUUGCAUACAUACUUACAUAAAAAUUACAUGUACAAGCUAGCGGAUAAACACAUCUCUAUAUGUCAUACAAAUAACCACAUAUUUAAAAAAAAAAAAUAAAAAUAAAACAUAUAUAAACAAUAUUUUAUAUUGCACGAAAUCAGUAAAGCGUCUUAAAGUAAUAAAAAUAUGGAAAAUCAAAGAACACAAUUCGAUGAGAGAGAUAAAAAAAAAUUGUUUUUGUAUGGCUAUGAGCAACAGUUGCUCCAUGGAAGAAUAAAUUGGAAAUUAGCCGAAAAAAAGAAAAUAACUAAAUACCCUAUUAGUGCUAUGAAAAAUUUAUGGAAUAAUAGUAUAGCCAAUUGGUUCAAUUUUUUUUUUUUUUUUUUUUUUUAAAUAUUAUAUAGCCUAUAAAAAAAAAAAAGUUUUACUUAAUUAUAUGCAUUAUAAUAAGAAUAUUAUAACAUAACAACAAAAAUAAAAUAGUAAAAUAAUAAAAUAAUAAUUAUAAA
rnacentral:lncRNA from 1 species